CUUGCACCUGGUGGCGAGUGGCGAACGGGUGAGUAAUACAUCGGAACGUACCUUAUCGUGGGGGAUAACGCAGCGAAAGCUGUGCUAAUACCGCAUACGCCCUGAGGGGGAAAGCGGGGGAUCGAAAGACCUCGCGCGAUUAGAGCGGCCGAUGCCUGAUUAGCUUGUUGGUGGGGUAAAAGCCCACCAAGGCGACGAUCAGUAGCUAGUCUGAGAGGACGAUCAGCCACACUGGGACUGAGACACGGCCCAGACUCCUACGGGAGGCAGCAGUGGGGAAUUUUGGGCAAUGGGGGAAACCCUGAUCCAGCAAUGCCGCGUGAGUGAAGAAGGCCUUCGGGUUGUAAAGCUCUUUUGUCAGGGAAGAAACACCGGCUCUAACACAGUCCGGGAAUGACGGUACCUGAAGAAUAAGCACCGGCUAACUACGUGCCAGCAGCCGCGGUAAUACGUAGGGUGCGAGCGUUAAUCGGAAUUACUGGGCGUAAAGCGUGCGCAGGCGGUUAUACAAGACAGGCGUGAAAUCCCCGGGCUUAACCUGGGAAUGGCGCCUGUGACUGUAUAGCUAGAGUGUGUCAGAGGGGGGUAGAAUUCCACGUGUAGCAGUGAAAUGCGUAGAUAUGUGGAGGAAUACCAAUGGCGAAGGCAGCCCCCUGGGAUAACACUGACGCUCAUGCACGAAAGCGUGGGGAGCAAACAG
rnacentral:rRNA from 1 species